CCUACGGGAGGCAGCAGUGGGGAAUAUUGGACAAUGGGCGAAAGCCUGAUCCAGCAAUGCCGCGUGAGUGAUGAAGGCCCUAGGGUUGUAAAGCUCUUUUACCAGGGAUGAUAAUGACAGUACCUGGAGAAUAAGCUCCGGCUAACUCCGUGCCAGCAGCCGCGGUAAUACGGAGGGAGCUAGCGUUGUUCGGAAUUACUGGGCGUAAAGCGUGCGUAGGCGGUGACUCAAGUCAGAGGUGAAAGCCUGGAGCUCAACUCCAGAACUGCCUUUGAAACUAGGUCGCUAGAAUCACGGAGAGGUGAGUGGAAUUCCGAGUGUAGAGGUGAAAUUCGUAGAUAUUCGGAAGAACACCAGUGGCGAAGGCGGCUCACUGGACGUGUAUUGACGCUGAGGCACGAAAGCGUGGGGAGCAAACAGGAUUAGAUACCCUGGUAGUCCACGCCGUAAACGAUGAUAACUAGCUGCCAGGGCUCUUAGAGCUUUGGUGGCGCAGCUAACGCAUUAAGUUAUCCGCCUGGGGGUACGUCGCAAGNUUAAAACUCAAAUGAAUUGACGG
rnacentral:rRNA from 1 species